rnacentral:rRNA from 1 species
UGGAUCCAGACUUUGAUCAUGGCUCAGGAUGAACGCUAGCUACAGACUUAACACAUGCAAGUCGAGGGGAAACGACAUCGAAAGCUUGCUUUUGAUGGGCGUCGACCGGCGCACGGGUGAGUAACGCGUAUCCAACCUGCCCACCACUUGGGGAUAACCUUGCGAGAGUAAGACUAAUACCCAAUGACGUCUCUAGAAGACAUCUGAAAGAGAUUAAAGAUUUAUCGGUGAUGGAUGGGGAUGCGUCUGAUUAGCUUGUUGGCGGGGUAACGGCCCACCAAGGCGACGAUCAGUAGGGGUUCUGAGAGGAAGGUCCCCCACAUUGGAACUGAGACACGGUCCAAACCCCUACGGGAGGCAGCAGUGAGGAAUAUUGGUCAAUGGACGAGAGUCUGAACCAGCCAAGUAGCGUGCAGGAUGACGGCCCUAUGGGUUGUAAACUGCUUUUAUAAGGGAAUAAAGUGAGUCUCGUGAGACUUUUUGCAUGUACCUUAUGAAUAAGGACCGGCUAAUUCCGUGCCAGCAGCCGCGGUAAUACGGAAGGUCCGGGCGUUAUCCGGAUUUAUUGGGUUUAAAGGGAGCGUAGGCCGGAGAUUAAGCGUGUUGUGAAAUGUAGACGCUCAACGUCUGCACUGCAGCGCGAACUGGUUUCCUUGAGUACGCACAAAGUGGGCGGAAUUUGUGGUGUAGCGGUGAAAUGCUUAGAUAUCACGAAGAACUCCGAUUGCGAAGGCAGCUCACCGGAGCGCAACUGACGCUGAAGCUCGAAAGUGCGGGUAUCGAACAGGAUUAGAUACCCUGGUAGUCCGCACGGUAAACGAUGGAUGCCCGCUGUUGGUCUGAAUAGGUCAGCGGCCAAGCGAAAGCAUUAAGCGUCCCACCUGGGGAGUACGCCGGCAACGGUGCAACUCAAAGGAAUUGACGGA